AAAUCAACAUCAGCGGCUGCCAUGCCUGGACAAGGGCGCUCAUCUCUGGCAGGAUCUCCUUGGAAACGCUGGUUGUAGAAAGCCAUUCCCUCCCCAACAGACAGCACACGUGUACACUGAGCUUCAUGUGAUUACCCAGCAACAAAAUCUGCUUCCAUGGGUGCAUGAGCGGGAGGUCCAGGAGCACUGAGCUGUGCCAAGAACCAGCCAGAACAGUGGAGGAGAUGAGUCAGCUAAAAGAAAAGAGGUUUUUCCUACUGUUGUUUGCCCUUCAGAUGCAGAACCUCUGCAGCAAUGAACAUAACACCCUACACCUACGAAACAGCCCAAAGCAAAAGAAACACCCAAGCAUGGGGAGAGGAACAGGCACAGCCCUUUCCAGGUGUUUCCCAUGUCUGUUCCCAGAAACGACAAAGUUUCUUGACUCUGCCGUGGACCUUCUCCUGCCCCACACCUCGCUGAGACCUGGCUGGGCUUUCACCUCCAUCUCAACACACAGAGUUUACCUCCUUCAUCUGUUCCAUUAAUGUGGGGAGCAAAGGAUACACCUUGCCAACAAGCCAGAUCCUGGGACUGUUUCUCCUGAACAUCUCUGUUGCAAGCAGCUGGUACACACUAUAAGAAACCCCUUUUUCUUCUGCAGUCAACUAUCCAAUCAAUCGUUAACACUUCAUUUCCCCAUAGGAUGGGGGCAGCAUCAUGGGCUACAACGACUGUUGCACACAAGUAGCCAAGCACAUACGGAUGUGUUUGGGAAGACAGGUAUUUAGGAAACUCACCCUGUCUCUAUGAACUACAUUGAAAACAUGUGGAAUAGCUUUUAUUAACUAUAAAGAGCCUGUUAUAGAAAGCUGCACAUAUUGCAUAACGAAUAAAAAAGGGUCAGUGAUUUACUGUAUUUUUAAAAGCCCUAGCUGCAAAAUAUUAGCAUAUACAAAUA
rnacentral:lncRNA from 1 species